GUGCUUAGGAAAUUAAUUUAGAGCAAAUAUUUUGAAUAGAGCUAUAUAAUGAAAACAAUAGAGCUAUUGAAUGGAUAUAUUAUUCAUAGCAUCAGAAGUAUUAAGGGAGAUUGGUAUAUAAAUAUAUAAUUAAUUUGUUUUCUUGGAGAAAUAUGAGACAAUUGUACUACUUUGAGUAUCAAGGGUUGACUUGAAUAAUUUAUUUUGAUGUUUGAAAAUAAUGAUAUGCCAUCAACUAUCAGAAUGAC
rnacentral:misc_RNA from 1 species